CCCUUAGAUGUUCUGGGCCGCACGCGCGCUACAAUGGUCUUCGCAAACGGAUGCAUUCUCGAAGGAGAAUGCCAAUCUUGGAAUCUAUGCCUUGGUCGGGACAGUUGCUUGCAAUUUUUCGACUCGAACCAGGAAUUCCUUGUAAUCGUGAUUCAUCACAUCACGAUGAAUACGUCCCUGCCCUUUGUACACACCGCCCGUCGCUCCUACCGAUCGAAGAGUUAGGUGAAUUGUUUUGAUCGAUAAGAUUUGACUAUGGUCAACUCUCGUUGUGAAAUUCUGUGAAUCUGACUGUUUAGAGGAAGGAGAAGUCGUAACA
rnacentral:rRNA from 1 species